GGAUCAUCCAAACACUCCUUGAGCUCUGGCAGCCUUGGUGCUGUGCCCACUGCCCUGGGGAGCCCAUUCCAUGUUGGCUCUCCGCUGAUGUGACAAAGGCAAAUAGGGUAGAAAAGGUAAAAGCAGGGCCAAGCUUUCUGCUGGUAUUAAGCAGACAGCUCCGGUGAUGGUAAAUAAACCAUUUUAAUUUGUCUUCUUAGGAAAUUUGGCAUCAGUUUUUUCCCCCACCUCCAAAGGAAGAAAUUCUCUCGCUUAGAGCUUUGCUAAUUGUUUCAAAAGGCAGGUAAUGGAAAAAUCAGAUGGAUGUGCUCACUAAAGGCAGAGACUUUAAGGAGCUCAUAGAAUGGAAUCAUAGUAUAUCCUGAGGGAAGGGACCCACAAGGAUCACUGAGUCCAACACACACUAACUCACACUGUACAUACAAUUUGCUAUAGAGAAGCAUCUUUUAUUCCCUUAACACAAGCAAUGUGCUUUGUUGCUGGACUGUAGCACUGUGCAAUUUAAGCCUAACUCUCCAGAAUACAAUUGCCUUUAUCGAGCUGAAUGCUCUGGGUAUGGACCACUUCCAGUGCCUUGUAUUAAAUGUGAUAAAGCAAGGUCACUCCUUAAUCAACCUGACCAGUGCCUGCCACAGCACCGCUGGGAUUACUCUCAUUUAUGUAGGGGACCAGGAGAGCUCCUCACAGAUCAGACUCAUAAAAAUAAUUUACUGCUACAUUCACCUUGCCCAAAACAGCAGAGCCAUCCCGUCAGCCUGCACACAUUUCAGGCUCUCUUGAACUACCCUCUUGUGGUACGGCUGCAGAAUGACAUCUUCUUCUAACAGCUUAAAAUACAUCCAGUUCUGCUUCACUUUCUAGGAUUAACUGAGACAAAGCUUUCCUUUUGGAGUGCAAUAACACCCUUUUUUUAUCAACGAGCUCCAAAUGCAUCAUGUUUCCACCAAAUACACCGAGCCCCCCAAAAUAGGGACGACUGAAAAUCCCAGGAAGUUUAUAGUUCCAUUUUUAGUUGUCUGUAAAAGAAAAGAAAACAAAUUUCCAAGCUUUUAAUGCAGUUUCUGCUGCAUAAAGCACCCCCCUGCCCCCUCAACAGUGAUUCAACAGAAACUAGUUAAGGGCUCUGAAGAUGCAAAGCAAAAGAUACAUUUCAUAAUCAUAUUGUAUAUUUGAUAGGUAAAGGCUCUAUCUAAUGAGCUGAUUAAGUUCUUGCUUAAUUAUUUUCUUGUAUUGAAACAAAGAUAAUUGUACCAGGGCUGGGUGGUUCAGUUCCUAGGGCUAAAUGCAAGCUUUUUCAGUAGAGAAACAUAAAUUCAACCAAGAAAAAUGCUGCAUUCAAAGUGAGUUUCAAUGUUGAGCAAUAAUGAUGAUUAAACAAGCCACAUUAAGUGCUAAAAUACAGCAUAUCUGCCCUCAGUAAUCAGAAUGACCACAGGCCUUAUCAGCUUGGGUCAAUACUCGAGGCACUUGAAUUAUCAAUAAAUAAGUAAACCCAUUCUUUCCUGGAUAAGUUUAACAAAUCUAGGGUGCCAGAAGUUGUUAACAUGGGUGAGGGUUGAAAGUGCUUUCUAAAAAAAUAAAUUCCUCAUCUCCUACCACCACUGACUCUGCAAUUUACCUGAUCCAGGCUCUUUUUUUUGUUCUCAAGUGGCCCGGACAGUAACCUCGUUGCCCUGGGUGACUCCUGGGCUGACUCAGGCACCUUGUAUUCCACUGGUGACUCUGAGUUUUGUGUUCUCAGCAGCAUUUUUCCCAUGUAUAAAACAGGGAUUACCAGCCCAGCAGAAGAAACACCAAAUGGCAGCAGAAAGGAUGUGGGAGAUUGUAGGGUGGCACCGUGAUUUCAUACCCUGCUCCUUGCUGGAUUGAGCUUCAUCCCUGAUAUUGUGCCUGACAGCAUGUGAGCAUUUUGACAGCUAUCAAUACCUGUGUUUCCAUAUGCAGGCAGUGCAGGAAUGAGAAGGGGGAUAUUCUUUAUCAUCUGGAAAUACCUUUUGCUAACAUGAUUUCAGUUGCAAGAUACCUGUGGAAAAGGAAAGGUGUGUGUUCCCAACACAUUGCCAGCUGGGAACUUCCACCUUGCCCACGGCCACAAGCAGUCCCAGCUCCUCUAGCUGGAGACAGGACACUGGGAGAAGAACAGUGUGCCCUCACCUGCAGCUCUGGUUCUCCUCAGCUGGCACAAAUCUGGAGUCUUUCGUAGAGGUUACCAUGGCUAAUUCACUGAGGCCUUCAGUUUUAAUACUACUGAGGGAGUUUUUUGUACUACAGCAGCACUGGGCAAUGCUCACUUGCCCCAGCCAGGGCAGCAAGCACAGUGCAGUCACAGAGUGAGAGACAGACUGUCCCCCAAAGAGCUUCACUUAAGGAAUGGCCAGGAUUGGUACUUACAGUGGGGACAAGGAAGCUCUGACAGACUGUAAACCAGCAAGGGAGGAGGAAGCCCCACCACUCCUUUGCACACACUUCUCUCAACCAGCAAAGUUAGAGGUUCGUCUUCAUCCAGAGUAAAGGCAGAGUCACCUUCAAAAGGCAAUUCAGCCCAUUUCAGUUGGGAUCCUGCUGCAAAUCACCUUCUGAAGGCAUAUUCCUCUGAGUAUCACCAGCAGUAGAAGACUUGACACACAGAUCUUAAAUUGGAUUGAAAUCAAAGGGAGUGAAAGCCUCAAUGCUUCCUGGGACUCUGGGAGUGAGGGCUCAUUGGCUUAAUUGGGAAUUAAGGACCAGCAGCAAGAGUUUGCUCAGCACCUGGGAGGACAAAGAUCAUAGUCUGGACAAUGAAGAGCACGUUUCUUCCCCCUGAAGACACCGACAGAGCUGUCAGGGCUCCUCUGAGCCUGGAAGACAAUGCUUUCAUCAGAACCUCUCUCGUGGGGACCCUCACACUUGCUCCAGUAGUUCCAUCCUUCUGUGGCCACCUAGAACUGGUUUCAGUCAGAAACCCAGAAGGCUUUUAAUGAUGUGCAUCCAGAAGACUGAGAUUAUGGUCUAACUAAAAUCUAAUCCAAGUAGGGUAGUACUAUAUUUUAAAGAAGCCAAGGAUGUGGUCUCCUUUUUGUUCCUUUUUCUCUGAUUACUCUAAUAAUUUUAAUAAGAUGGCUUAGAAAAGCUUGCCGUUUCCUUUCCAUUUUUAACAGCUAUUCCUUCUGAACAAAACCCCACUGUUGGGAAAAAGGAUUUCUUCCCCAUGGCAACGCUGGGGUACUCCACACAAAGAAGCACCUAGCAGUUUAGUUCACAUUUUUUAAUAACAUGGCACAAUUUACAUUACACAAGUCUUCGCUGAUGAGGAAACAUGCUGAAGAUUGAGAGCCGCUUCACUUUGCUUUUCACAUAGGAUCUAGAAAGGACUUUAUUACAUACAGGAUAAACAGCAAAAAGGUUUGUAUAUAACAAUCUCUUUACAAUACUGAAAGCUACCACUACGGUUCCAGUGUACAUAUUCCUCAGGGUUGGGAUUUUUUUUGGAUUUUUCCUUUUGUUCUUAAAAAAAAAAAAA